UUCGACACACUAUCAUUAACUGAAUCCAUAGGUUAAUGAGGCGAACCGGGGGAACUGAAACAUCUAAGUACCCCGAGGAAAAGAAAUCAACCGAGAUUCCCCCAGUAGCGGCGAGCGAACGGGGAGGAGCCCAGAGCCUGAAUCAGCAUGUGUGUUAGUGGAAGCGUCUGGAAAGGCGCGCGAUACAGGGUGACAGCCCCGUACACAAAAGCGCAUGUGCUGUGAGCUCGAUGAGUAGGGCGGGACACGUGGUAUCCUGUCUGAAUAUGGGGGGACCAUCCUCCAAGGCUAAAUACUCCUGACUGACCGAUAGUGAACCAGUACCGUGAGGGAAAGGCGAAAAGAACCCCGGCGAGGGGAGUGAAAAAGAACCUGAAACCGUGUACGUACAAGCAGUGGGAGCACCCUUUGGGGUGUGACUGCGUACCUUUUGUAUAAUGGGUCAGCGACUUAUAUUCUGUAGCAAGGUUAACCGUAUAGGGGAGCCGGAGGGAAACCGAGUCUUAACCGGGCGUUAAGUUGCAGGGUAUAGACCCGAAACCCGGUGAUCUAGCCAUGGGCAGGUUGAAGGUUGGGUAACACUAACUGGAGGACCGAACCGACUAAUGUUGAAAAAUUAGCGGAUGACCUGUGGCUGGGGGUGAAAGGCCAAUCAAACCGGGAGAUAGCUGGUUCUCCCCGAAAGCUAUUUAGGUAGCGCCUCGUGAAUUCAUCUCCGGGGGUAGAGCACUGUUUCGGCUAGGGGGCCAUCCCGGCUUACCAACCCGAUGCAAACUGCGAAUACCGGAGAAUGUUAUCACGGGAGACACACGGCGGGUGCUAACGUCCGUCGUGAAGAGGGAAACAACCCAGACCGCCAGCUAAGGUCCCAAAGUCAUGGUUAAGUGGGAAACGAUGUGGGAAGGCCCAGACAGCCAGGAUGUUGGCUUAGAAGCAGCCAUCAUUUAAAGAAAGCGUAAUAGCUCACUGGUCGAGUCGGCCUGCGCGGAAGAUGUAACGGGGCUAAACCAUGCACCGAAGCUGCGGCAGCGACACUCAGGUGUUGUUGGGUAGGGGAGCGUUCUGUAAGCCUGCGAAGGUGUGUCGUGAGGCAUGCUGGAGGUAUCAGAAGUGCGAAUGCUGACAUAAGUAACGAUAAAGCGGGUGAAAAGCCCGCUCGCCGGAAGACCAAGGGUUCCUGUCCAACGUUAAUCGGGGCAGGGUGAGUCGACCCCUAAGGCGAGGCCGAAAGGCGUAGUCGAUGGGAAACGGGUUAAUAUUCCCGUACUUGGUGUUACUGCGAAGGGGGGACGGAGAAGGCUAUGUUGGCCGGGCGACGGUUGUCCCGGUUUAAGCGUGUAGGUGUGUGUUCCAGGUAAAUCCGGUUCACUUUAACACUGAGGCGUGAUGACGAGGCACUACGGUGCUGAAGCAACAAAUGCCCUGCUUCCAGGAAAAGCCUCUAAGCAUCAGGUAACAUCAAAUCGUACCCCAAACCGACACAGGUGGUCAGGUAGAGAAUACCAAGGCGCUUGAGAGAACUCGGGUGAAGGAACUAGGCAAAAUGGUGCCGUAACUUCGGGAGAAGGCACGCUGACACGUAGGUGAAGUGAUUUACUCACGGAGCUGAAGUCAGUCGAAGAUACCAGCUGGCUGCAACUGUUUAUUAAAAACACAGCACUGUGCAAACACGAAAGUGGACGUAUACGGUGUGACGCCUGCCCGGUGCCGGAAGGUUAAUUGAUGGGGUCAGCGCAAGCGAAGCUCCUGAUCGAAGCCCCGGUAAACGGCGGCCGUAACUAUAACGGUCCUAAGGUAGCGAAAUUCCUUGUCGGGUAAGUUCCGACCUGCACGAAUGGCGUAAUGAUGGCCAGGCUGUCUCCACCCGAGACUCAGUGAAAUUGAACUCGCUGUGAAGAUGCAGUGUACCCGCGGCAAGACGGAAAGACCCCGUGAACCUUUACUAUAGCUUGACACUGAACAUUGAGCCUUGAUGUGUAGGAUAGGUGGGAGGCUUUGAAGUGUGGACGCCAGUCUGCAUGGAGCCGACCUUGAAAUACCACCCUUUAAUGUUUGAUGUUCUAACGUGGACCCGUAAUCCGGGUUGCGGACAGUGUCUGGUGGGUAGUUUGACUGGGGCGGUCUCCUCCUAAAGAGUAACGGAGGAGCACGAAGGUUGGCUAAUCCUGGUCGGACAUCAGGAGGUUAGUGCAAUGGCAUAAGCCAGCUUGACUGCGAGCGUGACGGCGCGAGCAGGUGCGAAAGCAGGUCAUAGUGAUCCGGUGGUUCUGAAUGGAAGGGCCAUCGCUCAACGGAUAAAAGGUACUCCGGGGAUAACAGGCUGAUACCGCCCAAGAGUUCAUAUCGACGGCGGUGUUUGGCACCUCGAUGUCGGCUCAUCACAUCCUGGGGCUGAAGUAGGUCCCAAGGGUAUGGCUGUUCGCCAUUUAAAGUGGUACGCGAGCUGGGUUUAGAACGUCGUGAGACAGUUCGGUCCCUAUCUGCCGUGGGCGCUGGAGAACUGAGGGGGGCUGCUCCUAGUACGAGAGGACCGGAGUGGACGCAUCACUGGUGUUCGGGUUGUCAUGCCAAUGGCACUGCCCGGUAGCUAAAUGCGGAAGAGAUAAGUGCUGAAAGCAUCUAAGCACGAAACUUGCCCCGA
rnacentral:rRNA from 1 species